GCCUCGCUCCCUGACUUCCGGGUCGCGGUGCUAGCAGGGAGAGUUCCGUCGUUUCCGUUGCCGGCUGUUUGCAGUGGGGAAACCGAGGCAGCUCCUGCUCCCCCUAGUUCUUCCGCUCCUGUGAGGAAAAAAAAAAUGUUUAUUUCUUUGUGGGAGUUCUUCUAUGGGCACUUUUUUCGAUUUUGGAUGAAAUGGCUAUUACGACAGAUGACUGGGAAGUGUGAAUUGCAGCGAAUAUUUGAUACCUAUGUAGGUGCACAGAGGACACACAGGAUAGAAAAUUCCUUGACAUACUCCAAGAAUAAGGUUUUACAGAAGGCGACACGUGUUGUUCAGAGUGAAGUGGACAAAUGUGUAGACGAUAUUAUGAAGGAAAAGAAUAUUAACCCUGAGAAGGAUGCCAGUUUUAAAAUCUGCAUGAAGAUGUGCUUACUUCAGAUAACUGGUUAUAAACAGCUCUAUUUGGAUGUAGAAAGUGUGAGGAAAAGGCCAUAUGAUUCUGAUAACCUACAACAUGAAGAGCUACUCAUGAAGCUUUGGAAUCUUCUAAUGCCCACGAAGAAGUUAAAUGCUAGAAUCUCCAAGCAGUGGGCUGAAAUUGGUUUCCAGGGUGAUGAUCCCAAGACAGACUUCCGAGGCAUGGGCAUACUUGGAUUAAUCAAUCUUGUGUAUUUCAGUGAAAAUUACACUAGUGAAGCUCAUCAGAUUCUUUCCCGUUCAAAUCAUCCAAAACUAGGGUAUUCUUAUGCAAUAGUUGGAAUCAAUCUUACAGAGAUGGCUUAUAGCUUACUGAAGAGUGAAGCUUUGAAGUUUCAUCUCUAUAACUUUGUUCCUGGUAUACCAACAAUGGAACACUUUCAUCAGUUUUAUUGGUCUCUGAAAAACAAGAAAAUAGUAGAAGAUGAGUCCCCAAGAGUACUCUGUACUUCAGUUUUUAUAUUUGCUGAUUAUGAAAGGCAGUAUUUCACAUGUAGACACAUCUAAGAUUCAUGUAAUUUUUCUUUAGGCAUUCAUUUUCCAGCUAACUACAAAAUAUAUUUUCCCUCUUGGAUGCUGGUUAAUGAAUGCUGUUAAGGACAGGACACACCAUUUGCAGAUUAUUUUAUUAUUUUUGGAAGGAAAUUUAAUUCAGAGGAACUUUUCACCUCCCCCUGCCUUGAAUUUCAAGGCCAGAUUUUCUUGUGGUAGGUCAGAGAUGCUAAGUAACUGUUCCUAAAGCUGUCUUUACUUCUCUGUUCCAUUCACUUUUAGUGAUAAUAUUUGAAUACUGAAGGUUUAAUUGAAUGAAUCCAUCUUCUGAAGCUAUUGUUCAGAAGCAAAGAACUCAAAUCUAGUUUUUCUUCACAUACUACUUUUCUUGAUCUUUUUCUGUCUUUAGAAUGUCAUUUGCAUGUUGGUAGCAUAUAAGAAACUACUUAGAUAAUAGGUGGCCAAAUCAUAAUUUCUUUAUCUCCAUUGUUGAAAAUAUCAUCCAUGUCUCUUUUUCGCAGAACCUUUCCUGCCUUUACUUACACCCUAAUUCCAGUUUUGUCUGCCUCUUAACUUUCUCUUGCAUGUGUCUGUUUCUUUCCGUCCCCAUUGUAACUGUACAAUAUCAGGCCUUUGUUACUAGGUUACUGUAAUAGCCUUUGGCAGUCUGUUUAUGGUAACACUCUUCUAUUUCUUCUCCAUGUUGAAAGUAUAGUUAUUUAAAAUGAAAAUCUCAUCAUUUUACUCCACUGCCAAAAAUUCUUCGAAGGAUUCCCAUUAUAAGGCCCUGCAUAAUCUGAACCUUGGUAACCUCUCCAGACUCAUCUUUUGCCAUAUACCAGCCCCCCUCGCACCCCUACAAACUCUAUAGUGGAGACAUCCCAGUCUUCUUUUUAGUUGCUCAGAUAUAUUAUGCUCUCUCUUGACUCUGUGCCUUUGCAAGUGACAUUCACUUGGCCUGAACACUAUUCCAGCUCCCUCUGUUCUUUCCAAGUGAUGCCUUCUCAUCUUCCAAAUCUCAGUUUAGACAUGCUCUUCUUGGGGAAGUUUAUUCGUUUACUGUGUGUUAGGUGUUGUUCUAGGCCCUGGGGAUGUAGCAGAGAAGACAAAGUCACUGAAUUCAGUGAGGAGCUGUCAUCUUCAGAAUCAAAAUUUCGCCCUAAUGCAGUGUCCACCUCCAGAUACUACUUCAUUUCUCUGCUCCCUUUCUUCAGGAAACUUUUUCAAUAAUUGCUGUUUUUCAUUUCUUCAUCUCCAGUUUUUAUCUAAUUCCAAUUUAGUUUCUCUCUCCAUGACUGCUCACACUGAUUUUUCUCAAACACCAAGUUUUUUUGCUGCCUAAUACCAUUGCCAUGUUUUUUCUUCAUGUUAUUUGUUCCUUUUAGUGGCACUGAGCAUAAAUGACCACACGUUUCUUCUGGAAACAUUAUCGUGACUUUUCUGAUGCCACAUUCUCCUGGCUUUUCUCCUGCACCACAGGAAUUCCUGUAGACAUCCACUACCUUACUAGAUGUGGGAGCACCUCAGGGCCCAGCCUGUGCCCACUCCUCUCUUUAGCCCGCAUACUUUUCCUAAGUGAUACCAUCUGAUCCCUUGCUUGAAAUGCCAAAUGUGCAUUAAAUGCCAAAAUAUAUAUCUUCAGCCCAACCUCUACUUUAACCCCAGCACUGUAUGUCCAGAUCCUUUUUCUCCCUUAAUGGAUAAGGAUAAAGAAUCAUAUGGGCAUGCUUACACAACGUAGGAGCCAAUGCAGCAUGUCUUUAAAUGGAGGGACAGGUUUCAGGUCCCUAAGGACAGCAUUGAUGAUUCUACCCAAGUGUACUGAAGAUUUCUGGCAGGCAUGAGAUGCUUUCCUUUAGCAUUCCAAAGUGGUGUCGCUGGGACUUUGCCAACUUGCCUCUAUUUUUUUUUUUUAAAUGAAAUAUAUCCCUUGUUCAUUAGCUACCUAUUGAACAUAAAUAUAAAAGCAAUUUAAAAACUCCCUAAACAAUUAAGCAGUUUCCCGUAUCUCAAUAUAUACAGGAAGGUGGUAGGUUAGAAAGCGGUGCAAAAUGACCUCUGUGUAGUAGUUUUCCCCUAAAGACCAGGGAACUUGAGGAUCUGUGGGAACUGUUGCUCUCCAGCACCCUCACACCAUCUCGGCUGGCUCCUCUAUAGGAAGGACAUUAAAGUGUAAUAUCUGAGGUAGAAAAGUCAUUGUAGAACCCUUUCAGUUGCCUCCUGUCAGCUCAAUCUAUUGAGCUAUAUAGAUCAUCCUGGAAACAGUGAAGCUUAUGGUUUUCAAUUAUUUUGAGAUAUUAAAAUGCACAUACACAUGUACCUGUGUACCUUUUAAGCAGAAGUUUCCCAAAAACUUGAUUUUCAUACCCGUUACCAUUGGAAGUUUCACAUCUUAAGGUUCUGCUUUUCUUCUUAGGAGGAACGUAUUCUAACUAGAAUAAUAAUUUGAAAUCUUGUCUUUUGAAUGUGCAUACUUUUUUUGUUAGAGGAGUGGGAUCAAUUGGUUUGCACAAAUUAGUUCCAAGGUCAUAGUUUCUCUCCAGAAGGAAGAACAGUUAAGAGAUUAGUUUCCACAUUUUUUGUUUCCCUACGAUCUGGCUUCAUCUCCCGCUUUGCCUUUGAUCUCUCUGCCUUUGUUUUAAUGCGUCCUGUGUAGGAAGGGCUGGAAACAUUGGUAGGUUAGCUUUUUAGCUCCAUUAUCAUCUUGUACGUCCAAACUGUGAGCAGGUAUCUGCCAUGAUUGUGGAAAGUUACUGACCACUAGUCCAGCAGGGGGGCUUAGGAUUUGGGGACCUCUGUCUUCUGUAUAUUCCUGUCUAGGAUGUCUCCAUUCUAGUUUUGUAGGGCCACAAUUUUAGCUGGACUUCUGGUUUGGUGGUUCCAAAAAAAAAAAAAGCAAAUAGUAACACCUCAAAUUUAUAUAACAAGAAAGUUAUGCCUCAAUAACAACUUUAUUGAGGUAUAAUUUAUAUACCAUAGAAUUUACCCAUUUUAAAAUUACACUUAAAUGGAUUUUAAUGAGCUAGAUUGGGUAGCCAUCAUCAUCAUCCACUUUUAGAACAUUUUCAUUACCCCAGUGAGAUGCAAGUUUACAGUUAAUCACCCUUCCUAUGGUUUUCUUAUCCUUAACCUCUGCAGUAAAUACAUGCAGGGAAUUUCAGGUUUAGACAUUUCAUAUGGCAAUUUCUACAGAGUCUAAGUGUUCCAAACAUCUGGACUCAAAAGGACAAAAUAUGUGCAUCAUGGAAAACAGCUCUGUUCCAUCACCUUUUGCAAAGCUUUGGGGGUCUUAUUGCCAAGGAUGGCCCUGCCAGUUUCCUAGAAUUUCAGUAUUUUUUCCUGUGGUUUCCUGAUGUCACAUUAAAUCACUUUAGCUAUUAUAGUCUCCGUUCUUCAAGUUAGUCUUUCUCUGACACUGAUUUAUAUUAUAGGUCAACAGCCUCACUCUGAAGCAUGAAGUUCCUAGUGCUUUAACUUGAGCAUUUUGUUCCAGGCCCAUGUAGUCAUUUGAAUGGGCCAUAUUACUGACAGUAAUGAAAAAGCAAUUUAAAGGACGUAAGAAUGGUUAUCUUGUCUAUGAAUUUGACAAGUUUUGGUUUGAAGAAGAACCAGAAAGCAUUAUGUAUUUCAACUUGUAUAGAGAGAAGUUUCA